ensembl:lncRNA LINC00320 long intergenic non-protein coding RNA 320
GGACUGUGUGAUUUUUGUUCUUUAGUAGAAGGAUAACAUGACAUAGCAGGAAUAAUACUGCCUUUUCUUUCUGGCAUGGAUCAAGAGAAAAGAAAAUACAAGAAAACAGACAGAAGAUCCUAUCUGCGACAAUUAAGAGCACUCUAAGAGGAAAACACAUCCCACCACACAAGGCAAGGUACUUCUAUGGAAGGGUGAGCCCUCACAGAUGGAGCAAUGGGGCGCGCACACCUGAACAAGGGAGGGGAAGGAGUUCUUAUCCCUGAUGCAUGUGACCCCUGCUGCUGUGUCCUUCCCCUAUUGGCUAAGGCUUCUGACAGCUUUGGAGAUUGUGACAUUGGAAUAAAGGAAAAACGUACAGGACUCAUGAAGCGCUGAAAUGUUCACAAAUAUCAAGCAAAAGUCAAUGAAAUUUAUUUUGAGCUAUUUACAUCAUUUAAUAAUUGAGCAAGGUAUACUCCUAUGAACAAAAUUUGGAGCAUGUUUGUCUCUCUCUGCCUGGCGUCUUCAGAAUUUGGAAACUAGUUAUGGUUUAUAAUCAGCUAUAGAAUUUUAACACGUGCUCUCAAAUGCAAGUUUCUGAUAACUUUGGAGAUUGUGACAUUGGAAUAAAGGAAGAGCUGGAAUGUUCAUGAAUAUCAAGCAAAAGUCAUGGAAAUUUAUUUUGAGCUAUUUACAGCAUUUAAUAAUUGAGCAAGGUAUACUCCUAUGAACAAAAUUUGGAGCAUGUUUGUCUCUCUCUGUCUGCCUGGCAUCUACAGAAUUUGGAAACUAGUUGUGCUGUACUGCAUGAGAAUGCCUGCAUUUAGUAUGCGAACUGGAAUUGGCAAAGGACGAUGGCUGCUCUCCCGCUAACUUUAAAUAAGUCAUGUCACAAAUUGCAUUCGUUCCCAGAUUUCCUAAACUUUCCAGAGAAAAUGGUCUUCUCCCUGGCUCAGCAAGAAGAUGAACUUUAAACACUGAGAAACUGGUCAUCUCCCUGGCUCAACCAGAAGAUGAACUUUAAACACUACUCUCAAUGACUUGAUGUUCCCAUCACUACUCCUGUCAUAAAGGGAGGGGACUCAGAUAUUGAGAAUUUUAUGAUAGUGUGAACUGUCUGGUAUGUCAUUUAAGUAAGCCCGUUGCUGAAAUAUUUUCCAUGUUAUUAGAAAGAGCUGAAGAGAGGGAUUGAGAUGGCUUCUUUAUUUUUUGUCUUUUGGGAAUUAAAGGAACCUGGUUCAACAAGGGCCUACACCUAAGUCUCUUGUUGUACCAGAGUACAAUUUAGGACUGCUCCUGAGGAAGGAAUUAGCUAGAAAUCUAGAGAGUAAGGGUAACAGAUUUACAUAGAAUAACAGCCUCAGUAUUUUUGGUUCCUCUCCAGUAAAGAUCACAAAGAAUAUUGCUAAAUCGCUAAAACACCUUUGCAAUAACGUAAGGGCUUACAACUAUAUACCAAUGUAGCUCAGUUACUAAACUGGAGUAAACUAAUUUCUCUUGUGUAGAAAAAUUGGUUGGCUGUGGUUUUAUAGCAGAUCUGCAAUUAUUAAUAGUUAUGCCAAUAAUCGUUUAACAGUGCAUAUGUUAAUAUAUAUGGAAAGACAAUGUGUAUAGACAGAUGUGUAAAAUUGAAAAAUAAACAUAUAACAAGAGAGAAACAUCUAUCGAACAGACAAUAUACAUACACAUCAAACACAACAGCAGUUUUAGUGACCAUAAUAUUUAUUUCUCAUUUUUACAUUGCUUACUUUAGUGACAACUGAAAAUGACAGUUGGCAAUGCAGCUAACAGUUUCAAUAAAAGUAUAAAACAAAAGACUGUGUACAAAGCACCUGUCUUUCCGCUUUUGUAAUCUUCCGUUGGAAAAAAUUUACACACCUAAGUAACCAUCUGUUUUCUUCAAGAAAAAAUCAUUCUUAUUUCUCUCUCUCAUCUUGAAAACAGCUGUCAGCCAGGAGGGCAGAGCUGAAAUUUAUUGCCACAUCACAUGAAGCAUAGAACAGACUCCACUACUCCUUGAGAUUCAAAACUUUGCCUCUCACAAAGUUACCUUUUAUUUUCCUCUUGUUUGUCACUCAUCUCCCCUAGUGUGCUCUUUUUAUUUCUUUUACUAUUAAUAAUAAAAUCUGUGGAUGACUGUAUUAUUGAA